rnacentral:misc_RNA from 1 species
GAAAUGCGAUAAGUAAUGUGAAUUGCAGAAUUCAGUGAAUCAUCGAAUCUUUGAACGCACAUUGCGCCCGCCAGCACUCUGGCGGACAUGCCUGUUCGAGCGUCAUUUCAACCCUCAGAACCCCUUGCGGGAUCUGGCGUUGGGGAUUGGCAUCCAGCCAGCCCCGAAAUCUAGUGGCGGUCCCUCCGCGACCUCCCCUGUGCAGUAGCGAUACCUCGCAGCGGGACAGCGGUCUGACCACGCCGUAAAACCCCCAACUUCUCAAGGUUGACCUCGAAUCAGGUAGGAAUACCUGCUGAACUUAAGC